UUGAACGCUGGCGGCAGGCCUAACACAUGCAAGUCGAGCGGUUGAGAGUAGCUUGCUACUUGAUGCAGCGGCGGACGGGUGAGUAACGCGUGGGAAUCUGCCCAGUAGUGGGGGACAACAGCCGGAAACGGCUGCUAAUACCGCAUACGCCCUACGGGGGAAAGGGGGGGAUCUUCGGACCUCUCGCUAUUGGAUGAGCUCGCGUCGGAUUAGCUAGUUGGUAGGGUAAAGGCCUACCAAGGCUACGAUCCGUAACUGGUCUGAGAGGAUGAUCAGUCACACUGGAACUGAGACACGGUCCAGACUCCUACGGGAGGCAGCAGUGGGGAAUAUUGGACAAUGGGGGAAACCCUGAUCCAGCCAUGCCGCGUGUGUGAAGAAGGCCUUAGGGUUGUAAAGCACUUUCAGUGGGGAGAAAGGUUUGUCACCUAAUACGUGAUGAAAUUGAUGUUACCCGAAGAAUAAGCACCGGCUAACUACGUGCCAGCCGCCGCAGUAAAAC
rnacentral:rRNA from 1 species